AGGAAAAAGAAAGGAGAAAAAUUUUGUUGUUCAUCCUUUCUCAUUUUGUUACAAUUGCCAUGACUUGAGAAGAAGAAAAAAAAAGUGUCCAUUCUCUCAUUUUUCUUUGCAUGGCCGAAUGUACUAAGAAGAAAGGGGGGGGAGCUUGAGAAAAUCAGCCAUGGGAGCUUACUAGACUAAGGUGUUUUGAUACAAGAAGCUCAAGAAGCUAGAGGGGGAGAAUCAAGCAAAAGCAAAGGAAAGAACAUCGAAUAGCCGAGUUGGAACCAUUUUACCCAACACAAGGUCUCUUGGACUCAUAUCGUUUGCGUGCUCGGAACCGUCGUUGAAGUCAUCACACCGGCUGGAAAUCUUUUGGUAUUGUCUUCGUAGUUGAGCUAGGAGAACAUUUGGCAUGUAUAGGCUAUUUUGUUUGUUGAAUCUCGGGUUGUAAACUUUAAGCCAUGCGAAGAUGGCCUAUGUGGUCGGUUGAGUGUGAAUCUAAAACCUAUAGGCACGAGCCUUAGAAACCUUAAUUUUGAUAAGGUGGCCAUAGUUUGUAUUAUGUAUGAUGAAAUAGUUGGCCAUGGAAGAAUUAUGAAAUAGUCAUUGUUUGCUUUAGUACCA